CUUCCAGUAGCACCUUAGAGACCCGCUAAGUUUGUUAUUGGUAUGAGCUUUUGUGUGUAUGCACACUUCUUCAGAUACACACUUAGUUGGUCUCUAAGGUGCUACUGGAAG